AGUGAACGCUGGCGGUAGGCCUAACACAUGCAAGUCGAACGGCAGCACAGUAAGAGCUUGCUCUUACGGGUGGCGAGUGGCGGACGGGUGAGGAAUACAUCGGAAUCUACUUUUUCGUGGGGGAUAACGUAGGGAAACUUACGCUAAUACCGCAUACGACCUACGGGUGAAAGCAGGGGAUCUUCGCACCUUGCGCGAUUGAAUGAGCCGAUGUCGGAUUAGCUAGUUGGCGGGGUAAAGGCCCACCAAGGCGACGAUCCGUAGCUGGUCUGAGAGGAUGAUCAGCCACACUGGAACGGAGACACGGUCCAGACUCCUACGGGAGGCAGCAGUGGGGAAUAUUGGACAAUGGGCGCAAGCUUGAUCCAGCCAUACCGCGUGGGUGAAGAAGGCCUUCGGGUUGUAAAGCCCUUUUGUUGGGAAAGAAAAGCAGCAGGUUAAUACCCCGCUGUUCUGACGGUACCCAAAGAAUAAGCACCGGCUAACUUCGUG
rnacentral:rRNA from 1 species